GACGAACGCUGGCGGCGUGCUUAACACAUGCAAGUCGAACGGAAAGGCCCUGCUUUUGUGGGGUGCUCGAGUGGCGAACGGGUGAGUAACACGUGAGUAACCUGCCCUUGACUUUGGGAUAACUUCAGGAAACUGGGGCUAAUACCGGAUAGGAGCUCCUGCUGCAUGGUGGGGGUUGGAAAGUUUCGGCGGUUGGGGAUGGACUCGCGGCUUAUCAGCUUGUUGGUGGGGUAGUGGCUUACCAAGGCUUUGACGGGUAGCCGGCCUGAGAGGGUGACCGGCCACAUUGGGACUGAGAUACGGCCCAGACUCCUACGGGAGGCGGCAGUGGGGAAUAUUGCACAAUGGGCGGAAGCCAGAUGCAGCAACGCCGCGUGCGGGAUGACGGCCUUCGGGUUGUAAACCGCUUUCGCCUGUGACGAAGCGUGAGUGACGGUAAUGGGUAAAGAAGCACCGGCUAACUACGUG
rnacentral:rRNA from 1 species